rnacentral:rRNA from 1 species
CCGUAACUAUAACGGUCCUAAGGUAGCGAAAUUCCUUGUCGGGUAAGUUCCGACCCGCACGAAAGGCGUAAUGAUUUGAGCACUGUCUCGACAAUGCAUCCGGUGAAAUUGAAGUACCAGUGAAGAUGCUGGUUACCCGCGCCAGGACGGAAAGACCCCAUGGAGCUUUACUCCAGUUUGAUACUGGGAUUCGGUACUGCAUGUACAGGAUAGGUGGGAGACGGAGAAGGAUGGACGCCAGUCUGUCCGGAGUCGCUGUUGGGAUACCACCCCUGUAGUACUGGGUUUCUAACCAGUUGCCAUGAACUGGCAAUGGGACAAUGUCAGGCGGGGAGUUUGACUGGGGCGGUCGCCUCCGAAAGGGUAUCGGAGGCGCUCAAAGGUUCCCUCAGAAUGGUUGGAAACCAUUUGAAGAGUGCAAAGGCAGAAGGGAGCUUGACUGCGACACCGACGGGUGGAGCAGGUACGAAAGUAGGACUUAGUGAUCCGGUGGUAUAAAGUGGGAUUGCCAUCGCUCAACGGAUAAAAGCUACCCUGGGGAUAACAGGCUUAUCACUCCCAAGAGUUCACAUCGACGGAGUGGUUUGGCACCUCGAUGUCGGCUCAUCGCAUCCUGGGGCUGUAGCAGGUCCCAAGGGUUGGGCUGUUCGCCCAUUAAAGCGGUACGCGAGCUGGGUUCAGAACGUCGUGAGACAGUUCGGUCCCUAUCCGGCGCGGGCGGAGGAUAUUUGAGAGGAGCUGUCCUUAGUACGAGAGGACCGGGAUGGACGGACCACUGGUGUAUCUGUUGUCGACCAACGGCAUGGCAGAGUAGCCAAGUCUGGAAGGGAUAAACGCUGAAGGCAUCUAAGCGUGAAGCCCCCCUCAAGAUGAGAUAUCCCUCCUUCGGGAGUAAGACCCCUUGAAGACUACAAGGUAGAUAGGGCAGAGGUGGAAGCAUGGCAACAUGUGGAGCUGACUGUUACUAAUAGGUCGAGGGCUUAAUCUG